UACGGGGGGAGCAAGCGUUGUUCGGAUUUACUGGGCGUAAAGGGCGCGUAGGCGGUCAGCACAAGUCAGUUGUGAAAUCUCCGGGCUUAACUCGGAAAGGUCAACUGAUACUGUGCGACUAGAGUGCGUUCGGGGCAGAGGGAAUUCCUGGUGUAGCGGUGAAAUGCGUAGAGAUCAGGAAGAACACCGGUGGCGAAAGCGCUCUGCUAGGCCGCAACUGACACUGAGGGACGAAAGCUAGGGGAGCGAAUGGG
rnacentral:rRNA from 1 species